ensembl:lncRNA
CUUUUUUAAUUUAUUCAGUACUGAGCCACAGUUUUUGUUUGAUUUUGGAGUCUUGACUGGUGUUAGAGAGUAGGUCCUCAUUUUAAAACCUUGAAAUCCUUUGCACAGACAGCUGUUUUAGCUAAUCUAAAUUGAUAGACAAAUGUAAAUUCCUCGUGGGAUCUUGGCAGAGCCUUGACAGGAGUAACUGGAUAAUCAGAUUGCAUGUAGAGAGAACUCUCAGCGCAAGUCUUCACACCAAACUGUUUGCUGUUCCAAGGUCUACCAAGGUGUAUACCCGAUACAAAUGCUACAUUGGUAUUUUGAAGCCAUAUACGCUUCACUGAUGACAUUUCUGAAUUCAUCCGCAUAUACACAAUAUGUUUGAAGAGAAAAGAAGAUUCUUCUUUUGAAAAAAUACAAGUUCUCUGGUUUUGCCACCAGCCAGUCAUGGACAAUAGCAUCUUUGGAGAUGAUGCAGCCAUAAUAAGUAAUUCUAGCAGAAGAAUCUACUCUAUACUUGUGGAAAGGGGUUGUGGUUCACAGGCCAAUUUCGUUUGAGUAGAAGGUUCAUUUAAAAAAAAAAAAAAAAAAAAAAAAAGGAAAAGAAAAGUACGUUUAGCUUUAGAGAGAAGUUGAAUACGAUGAUUCACUGAUCAUAGUGAGUACUGUUGAGUAAUAACAAGAAGAGAACCCUUGAAAGGUGCCUAUGGACUGAGAAGGAGCAGGAGCAGGAAGCAGGAUCAAGGCUUGGACUUUGGCUUCUUGUGCUGUUCUGUCAAUGAGGAGGCAAGAGUUGUAAAAGAAGCUGUGAAUGGACAGAACAAAGACAACUGACCAAACAGGCCAGAGGGAUGUUCCAUACCAUAUGAUGUCAUGCUCAGCCAUAAAACUAGGUGGAGUUUUCUUGAGGAGCUGCUACUGUUCGUGGACUGGCAUCAGCGAGCAGCUACAGCUGAUUGAACUACUCCAAGAGGAGCCACUCCCAGCUCUUUGUCUGGGUGCAGACUGCUGUGGUCUGUGAACACAAGUGCCAUGGGAUCUUCCCAGGUUUUUCUGGAAGCCUACAGAUUCUGAAUGGAUAAGUUCUGGGCCAGACAACAUUUUGGAAGUGAACUUCCUUUGGUGACCUUUCUUUAAAGUUGCAUGCUCUACCUUCACAUGACCAAAUGUGCAACCAUCAUAUAAUUAAAAGAUGACAACCAUGGAGUCUGAGAAUGCAAGAACAUGUCUUCUACUGCCAAGGACCAGCUGACACCCACAGAGGCACAGAAUGGGAAAUGCUGUGUGCACCAAAAGGGAGGAAGUUUAUAAAAAGAUUUUUGUUUUCAUUCAUACUGUGACCAAAGUAACGUCCCAGUUUAAACAUUAAACUCAAGAUCAUUAACUUGUCACAGUGAUUUCUGGCUUAAAACUUUAUAGUAAAAUAAGAAGGCAUAAAAAGGCUUAUUAAUUGAUAAGAUAAAGCUUGCUAAAAUGUAAUGCUUUCCAUAUUUUGUAAAGAGAAUGAUUUAAAGUUAUAUUAUUGAAACUACAUGAAUUGUUUAAGCCAGUUACUAACUCACAUGUCAUGCCUGAAAUGUAAAACUCUGACAAAAAUGCUGGGUUUCACUUUUGGAUUCCCAAAAAUGUAAAAUAUCAGGGUUUAAGUCUCUCUUUUGCUAAAAAUAAAGACAAUAUACAAAAAUGUAAUCCAUACUUAGGAAAUGUAAAGAAACACAAGCAAAUAAAUAGUGCUCACUGAGUUAAAGACUGAUGUCAGUAGCAAAUGAUUUCCAUAAGAAAAUUGACUGUCUCACACAUAGCUGUUAACUUUAACGCUGUAAAAUAGAUAGAAUUUGAAAUGAAGUGACAAUACUCAUCUCACAUUUAUUAUGUUGUCUUGGGGUUCUAAAGGUAGAGAAAUUAUUUUAUUACAUUUUCAUUUGAAAUCUGAAUGCAUUAUCAUUCCAGAGCUAGAAAAAUUAAUUUUGUAUUUUGAUCAACAAAUAGUUGCUGUUCCUGUGGAGGCUGACCUCUUCUUCUGAUUGUGGUAUUUUUCUUCCUAGAGUAGUACAGAAAGUUUCAAGCAGCUUCAUUUAUUAACAAUGGUAUAUUUCACCCACAUCAUAUAUGAACUAUCCCAUAUGCAAAAGGAAAUGAUUGACAGCAAAAAGUCAAAAUUUACCACAUCUUGUUUUCUUCAGUUUUAAUAACUCAGCUAACGGCUUUUGGUUUUGAAAACUGAUCUUAUCAGCCACUAUCACCGUCCUCAUACUUACCCUUUAUCUUUCACCAUAUUGAAAGUUUUUCUGAGAAAUAUCUGGUUUUCAAAUGAGUCAUUCCCUUUUGCUACUACUGCCUAUAGGACAGCCAUAUCCCAGAACACUGGACAGUCUGUACCUUAACUGUUUGAAACGGAGCUAAUAACUCUCAGCAUGGCUUUGCCUUGAGUAAAAUAGGUCAUUCUGGAUAUUGCCAAUAAAUGAAAGGAUUAUGACAUUUUUUCCGACUGAUCCAUUCUCUUUCAUACUUGUCAUUCAAAAGUAGACAAUGCAUCUACAG